AUUGAACGCUGGCGGAAUGCUUUACACAUGCAAGUCGAGCGGCAGCGCGGGGCAACCUGGCGGCGAGCGGCGAACGGGUGAGUAAUACAUCGGAACGUACCCAGUUGUGGGGGAUAGCCCGGCGAAAGCCGGAUUAAUACCGCAUACGACCUGAGGGUGAAAGGGGGGGAUCGCAAGACCUCUCGCAGUUGGAGCGGCCGAUGGCGGAUUAGCUAGUUGGUAGGGUAAAGGCCUACCAAGGCGACGAUCCGUAGCGGGUCUGAGAGGACGGCCCGCCACACUGGAACUGAGACACGGUCCAGACUCCUACGGGAGGCAGCAGUGGGGAAUUUUGGACAAUGGGGGCAACCCUGAUCCAGCCAUUCCGCGUGAGUGAAGAAGGCCUUCGGGUUGUAAAGCUCUUUCGGCAGGAACGAAACGGUUCUUUCUAAUAAAGAGGGCUAAUGACGGUACCUGAAGAAGAAGCACCGGCUAACUACGUGCCAGCAGCCGCGGUAA
rnacentral:rRNA from 1 species